GACUUCUGGUUUAAUGCACCUGGCCCGCGGCCCACAAGGCCUGUGAGUGCCGGCGCGCGUUUACCAUCCUUCCAGCAACGGCUACCCUUAACUGGGCGGCUGGAACUGGAUCUUUUACUUUGAAAAAAUUAGAGUGUUUAAAGCAGGCGUUGGAAUAAUAAUCUAGGACUUCGGUUCUAUUUUGAUAACUGAAGUAAUGAUUGAUAGGGAUAGUUGGGGGUGCUAGUAUUGGCCGGUCAGAGGUGAAAUUCUUGGAUUCGGUCAAGACUAACUUAUGCGAAAGCAUU
rnacentral:rRNA from 1 species